GGCAGCUGCGCGGGAGAGCUUUUGCGCGAUGCAAAGGCACCGAAGGAGCAACCGCCCCGGAAACUCUCAGGUCACAGGGACCGCGCGGCUGGC
rnacentral:ncRNA from 1 species